rnacentral:lncRNA from 1 species
GACCACAGAAACAUGGGCUCUCAGUUCUAUUCCAUUGAGCUACAUGUCUAUCUUUAUGCCAGAACCACACUAUUUUGAUUAAGAUCAAUUUGUAAUAAAGCUCAAAAUCAGAAAAUGUGAGUCAUCCAUGUCUUUCUUUUAGGCUGUUUUGGCUAUCCUGGAUACCUUGCAUUUCCAUGUGAAUUUUAGGAUCAGCUUGACCAUUUCUGGAAAAAAAAAGGCCAUUGAAAUUUUAUAGUAAUUAUGCUGAAUAUAUCGAUCAAUUGCCAGGUGAAGAUUUUCCUGCUUCCCCAUUGCCUUCUGCCAUGAUUGUAAGUUCCCCGAGGCCUCCUCAGCCAUGCUUCCCAAACAGCCUGUGGAACGUGCACACAGAGAAAAGGCCAUGUGAUGACCUGGUGAGAAGGUGGCAAUCUGCAAGCCAAGAAGAGGGCUUUCACCGGAAACAAACUCUUCCAGAUCUUAAUUGUGGAUUUCUAGCCUCCAGAAUGAUAUUCUUUCAGAUACUGUGUACUGAUGAAACUGCUGACUCAGCUGGUCUGAAGGACCCCACUGGCACUGGCUGGUCUGAAGGACCCUGCUGAUCACAACUUGCCUGAAGGACCCUACUGACAUCAGCUGUUGUCCAAAGGACGCCACAAGAAACUGACUCACCAAAAAAUGCAUCCUGAUGAUUUCAUCCCCCUUAACCCGACCAAUCAACAACCCCAAAUCUACACAGCCCCUUUCCCUCCAUGAUUCCUACAAAACUCCAGCCCAGAACUCCUCAGGGAGAUGGAUUUGAAGGUCUCCUCCCUUCUACUUGCUUGAUGCCCUAUUAUUAUUAAACUCUUUGCUACAAACCCUGCUG